rnacentral:rRNA from 1 species
GACGAACGCUGGCGGCGUGCUUAACACAUGCAAGUCGAACGGAAAGGCCCUGCUUUUGUGGGGUGCUCGAGUGGCGAACGGGUGAGUAACACGUGAGUAACCUGCCCUUGACUUUGGGAUAACUUCAGGAAACUGGGGCUAAUACCGGAUAGCAGCUCCUGCUGCAUGGUGGGGGUUGGAAAGUUUCGGCGGUUGGGGAUGGACUCGCGGCUUAUCAGCUUGUUGGUGGGGUAGUGGCUUACCAAGGCUUUGACGGGUAGCCGGCCUGAGAGGGUGACCGGCCACAUUGGGACUGAGGUACGGCCCAGACUCCUACAGGGGGCAGCAGUGGGGAAUAUUGCACAAUGAGCGGGAGCCUGAUGCAGCAACGCCGCGUUCGGGAUGCCGGCCUUCGGGUUGUAAACCGCUUUCGCCUGUGACGAAGCGUGAGUGACGGUAAUGGGUAAAGAAGCACCGGCUAACUACGUG